rnacentral:rRNA from 1 species
GACAGAGGUGCCAAGCGUUAGGCGGAAUCACUGGGCUUAAAGCGUGUGUAGGCGGGUUUGUAAGUACCUUGUGAAAUCCCAUGGCUCAACCAUGGAACUGCUCGGUAUACUGCGAAUCUUGAGCCACUUAGGGGCUACCGGAACAAAUGGUGGAGCGGUGAAAUGCGUAGAUAUCAUUUGGAACGCCAAUGGUGAAAACAGCUCGCUGGGGGUGUGCUGACGCUGAGACACGAAAGCCAGGGGAGCAAACGGG